GGAGUUAGUACAGCGGCGGACGGUUGAGUAACACGUGAGAAUCUACCCUUUAGUGAAGGAUACCCUCGAGAAAUCGAGGUUAAUACUGCAUAAGUCCCUGCGGGGAGAAAGGCGGCCUCUUUGCUGUCGCUAAAGGAUGAGCUUGCGGCCUAUCAGCUAGUUGGUGAGGUAAAUGCUCACCAAGGCAAUGACGGGUAGCCGGCCUGAGAGGGUGUUCGGCCAGAUUGGAACUGAGAUACGGUCCAGACUCC
rnacentral:rRNA from 1 species